GGGAUUUUAGUUGGGACUUAAAAGAAACCAGAGAUAGCAGGGGAAGUUGAAGAGGGAGAGCAUGCCAAGCAUUAGAGACAGCCAGGAGCUCCUCGAAUAGCAAGGAGUCACUGGAUCAGUCUGUGUGUUGAGAAGUAAGGUGUUAAGAAGACAGAAAAGAGACGAGGAGGCAAGUUCAUAAAGGGCUUUGAAUGCCAACAGAGCAUUUUGUAUUUGAUCACGAAGGCAAUAAGAGCCUCCGGAGUUGAUUGAGCUUCAAGGGCAGCUAGGUGGCGCAGUGGAUACAGUAUGGGUCCUGGAGUCCUUCCUGCACUCAAAUCUGCCUUCAGAUACUAGCUGUGUGACCCUGGAUGCUAGUUGGCCAGGAUGCCAUCUGAUCACAAGAGGAAUACAUGCAAGAGCAGACAUUGAACAUGAAGUCAAGGUAUGGCCGAGGGAAUGGCUUUUGACAAAUGUUGAGGUUGGUUUCUCUUGGUUGAAUUUUUUCCCACAAUAUUGUACAGAAGGCUGGAAGUUUUCAUCCUACUCAUCUCAUUCUACACCUAGCUUCUAUGCCCUUUCCUAUUUGCCUAAUGCUAUGGACGUCUCAAUCCCAUGCAUCUGUGUGACUCAGUUUCCUCCAAUAUGUUCAGUGGCAUGGACGUAUAUUCCAUCCACCUAUUUU